GUCGGCUGUUAGACACAGUUAUUUUACAAAUUUAGUAAACAGUGCGAAUGUUAAAACAGUGUUUUAAGAGAGUUCUGCAGAGCCAAAAUGUCUAUAGUUGAAGAAACAUAAACGUUACGUUAAUUGUGAAAAAAAGUGCGACUUCUUCUAGAAACAUCAGUAACAACUACAGUAUGCAUAUGAAGACGUGAUUGAACAUGAAUAAUGAGAUCUAGCACUAAAUUAAUAAUCUCUGAAUGACAACAAUUAUAAAACGCGACGUUACCUUAAGUUUUUUUUUUUUUUUAUUAAACCUUCAUUCAAAAAUACACCUUAAGUUUUUGUUGUCAAACAUAAUACACGUAACGACGUCGUCGCUAGACUUGGGUGUGUCUCACGUCAAUCAAAGUUGCUUCUCUCUUCAAACCAGCAGUGACGACUAGCGGGAGUGUGAGAGAAACGAAAUCCUCUCUUUUGCUUUGUUGACAGUACUUCUGUAGUUUUUAGUCUCAUUAACUUUCUUUAUUAGUAAUCAUUAGUAAAAUAGUGACGUACAGCAUUAUCUGCUUAAAAAUGGCUGGACAAGGACACAACUCGGAAAUCGAGCUUGAUUUUAUCGAAACUGGAAAGAGAUGCUCUGGUAAAAGCUGAGGCAUCCAGCACAGCACCUGGAAGGCUCUCACCCAUUCCUGAGCUGGAUCCCUGGGAGAGAGAAGUAGAAAAGAGCUCUACAGAAUUCACAUACUCCUUAUUCUCAGUGGACAGGUACAGCACUGCCUCCUCCUCCAGCAGCUCCCUAUCUGACUCCCAGGAGAGAGGAGAGCUUGGUGCUAAAGGUCCCGAAAGCUUGUCUGGAGCUUUAGUAGCCCGCCUGAGUCUGAUGCAGCCAUCCUUGGACCCCAAGGGCCCUGCGGAGCCACUGAAAUACCACCAGGUGCUUUUAGUGUCGGUCCCCGAGUCAGGAGAAUUUAUUCCGAGAAAUAAUGAGAGUUGCAUUAGCAGAGUAUCGAUCCCCCUCAGUGUGGCCUUCCCUCAUGAGCCUGCGGUAAGUCUUUAG
rnacentral:lncRNA from 1 species